ACAGAGGUCCCGAGCGUUGUUCGGAUUCACUGGGCGUAAAGGGUGCGUAGGUGGCCAUGAAAGUUUGAUGUGAAAUCUCCGGGCUUAACCCGGAAAAGGCAUUGAAUACUCUGUGGCUGGAGGUUUGGAGGGGGGACUGGAAUUCUCGGUGUAGCAGUGAAAUGCGUAGAUAUCGAGAGGAACACCAGUGGCGAAGGCGGGUCCCUGGACAACACCUGACACUGAGGCACGAAAGCUAGGGGAGCAAACAGGA
rnacentral:rRNA from 1 species